CAGAGUUAAAGCUGGGUAGAAAUUCAGCUAUGUCAUAUUACCAUUAAACUGUGUAACAAAUUCCUCCUUUUCUCUACAUUUACUCCUCAUUCUUGAGGGGUAUGAAGGGAUGAAGGUCCAUCUUCUAUAACUUCUUUAAGCUGAAUCCAGGAAGUGUUGGUGACUACACACACCCUACCUUGUUCUGCCAAGAGGUCAUCAAGAGCCGGAUGGUUAUAACGCACGAUAUUGGCUAGGGUAGACUCUGGAUGAAACAAGGUGACUCCAAGAGCAAAGCUUAGAAUACCUGAAUACCUGCAAGCAAGACAAGUAGAUUAAGUCCUGACAGAAAAGUAUACGCGGGCCCAAGCUAUUUUUAGCCUCUGUGGACAGCUCCAUAGGGAGAAUGAACUAUUCGUCAACGUCACCCAUAUUUUACUGAAGAUUUUGAAGGUAUUCCAAUGUGACUGACUACUACGUUUCCUCACAUGUGUGCUGCUGUAUCUGAGAUCACCAUGUUUUCAAUUAUCUCAUAUGAACCUGUAAGUAAGAUAAAUCUACUUUUAAAAACAUUAGAGAUAUUGGAACAGUAAGGAAAAUAUUUUUAAUUAAAAUAUCUGCUACUGGCAACUUUGUCAUCUUCCAAAUGUAAAUAUAGAACUUCCAUAACCAUAAAGUUUGUUGUAAAACUUCGUGAUGAUCCUUUCAUCCAAGGGAGUAGCAAGGUCAUGUUAAAAUU
rnacentral:lncRNA from 1 species